AUUCCAGCUCCAAUAGCGUAUAUUAAAGUUGUUGCAGUUAAAAAGCUCGUAGUCGGAUUUCGGGUCGGGCCGAGCGGUCUGCCGAUGGGUAUGCACUGUUCGGCGCGGCCUUCUUUCCGGAGACCGCGGCUACUCUUAACUGAGCGGGCGUGGGAGACGGAUCGUUUACUUUGAAAAAAUCAGAGUGUUUCAAGCAGGCAGCUCGCUCUUGCAUGGAUUAGCAUGGGAUAAUGAAAUAGGACUUUGGUGCUAUUUUGUUGGUUUCGAACACCGAAGUAAUGAUUAACAGGGACAGUCAGGGGCACUCGUAUUCCGCCGAGAGAGGUGAAAUUCUCAGACCAGCGGAAGACGAACCACUGCGAAAGCAUUUGCCAGGGAUGUUUUCAUUA
rnacentral:rRNA from 1 species